UACAGAGGAGCCAAGCGUUGUCCGGAUUGACUGGGCGUAAAGCGCACGCAGGCGGACGCGCGCGUGGGGUGUGAAAUCUGGCCGCUUAACGGCCAGGCGCCAUCCCAUACGGCGCGUCUGGAGCAAUGCAGAGGUCGGUGGAAUUGCCGGUGUAGUGGUGAAAUGCGUAGAUAUCGGAAGGAACACCAGUGGCGAAGGCGACUACCUGGCCUGUUUCUUGACGCUGAGGCGGCGAAAGCUAGGGGAGCAAACGGG
rnacentral:rRNA from 1 species